GCAUUUUGGGCUGUGGGAAAACAGAAGAGAGGCUCCUCACUCAGUCAUGAUGUGUCCAGAAAGGAGUCCCAGAGAAAAUAACAUCUGAUCUGAGAAAAGAGAGAAACAAGGAGCAGAAGUUAGGGGUACUAACUGGAAGAAAGGAAUGCGAAUGAUUACCAAUCCUGCUGCAAGUGCUUAAAGAAGAUGGAAUCAGAGUGUGGGAACCAGGCUGAACUACAUGACUGACAGUAGAUGACCGCCACUGCCACGGGAUCCACAGGGUCCACAAAGAAAAGCGGCUGCAGGAUACAUGAAUUACUUAAACCACCAAGAAAAUACACAAGAAAGAGGUACUAAAAGAGAUGGGUGUUUCUAAUGGAUCACAAUGUUAGAAUACAUAUGAAGAACUUCUUGAGAAAAGAAGACUGUAAGCCCAAGUGGGGAGCCUGAAGGUGACAUCUUGUUGGUUUGGAGAUGAUUUAUUCGCUCGUGUUGUAAAAUCUAAAAUGACACUCCUGGGAAGAGGAAGGAACUAUAAGGACCCGUGUGACCCAUUGCUGUCUGCCUGAAGCCCUGGCGCUCUGACCUGAGUGCACCGGGGUUAGGUGUCUCAGCCAAAAUGCAGGACUGCACGACGUCUAACACAUGGGAGAGAUGCUCUGAAACAUGGGGGUGGGUAUUCACUGCAUUCCAGAGUUGGGGGAUCUGGAGACCCAGUGAGUCCUUCGGACUUCACAGGCCUGUCUCCCCACACUUCAAAUUCCAAAUCGUCCUUCACCCAAAAGUGGGUAGGAGUCACUGGACUAUCAAUUUCCCCAAAAUUCUAAGAGAAGGAGGUAACCCGGGCCCCUACUUCUGCAUGUAAAAUAAACCGAAAUCACCACCUCUUGGCUGGCCUUGACAUUCAGCUCUGGGGACUCAGUGAGGCACUUAAUCCUGUAUUUCACCUCCUCUAAAGAGAAAAGUUUCCAAGCUACCCUUAAAGCUUUAUAUUUCAUUGGCUCCCCUCUUCAACGAGAUAAUUGAAGCUCAAAUUUAGACUGCCAGUGGGCCCCAGAGUCCCAGGAUGGUGCUGCAUAAGAAAAUUUCUGGCGCCAGGGUUGUUGCA
rnacentral:lncRNA from 10 species